rnacentral:rRNA from 1 species
AACGAACGCUGGCGGCAUGCCUAACACAUGCAAGUCGAACGAGACCUCCGGGUCUAGUGGCGCACGGGUGCGUAACGCGUGGGAACCUGCCCUUAGGUUCGGAAUAACUCCCCGAAAGGGGUGCUAAUACCGGAUAAUGUCUUCGGACCAAAGAUUUAUCGCCUUUGGAUGGGCCCGCGUUGGAUUAGCUAGUUGGUAGGGUAAAAGCCUACCAAGGCGACGAUCCAUAGCUGGUCUGAGAGGAUGAUCAGCCACACUGGGACUGGGACACGGCCCAGACUCCUACGAGAGGCAGCAGUGGGGAAUAUUGGACAAUGGGCGAAAGCCUGAUCCAGCAAUGCCGCGUGAGUGAUGAAGGCCUUAGGGUUGUAAAGCUCUUUUACCCGGGAUGAUAAUGACAGUACCGGGAGAAUAAGCUCCGGCUAACUCCGU